rnacentral:rRNA from 2 species
AGUCGAACGACUCUGGUAUUGAUUGGUGCUUGCAUCAUGAUUUACAUUUGAGUGAGUGGCGAACUGGUGAGUAACACGUGGGAAACCUGCCCAGAAGCGGGGGAUAACACCUGGAAACAGAUGCUAAUACCGCAUAACAACUUGGACCGCAUGGUCCGAGUUUGAAAGAUGGCUUCGGCUAUCACUUUUGGAUGGUCCCGCGGCGUAUUAGCUAGAUGGUGGGGUAACGGCUCACCAUGGCAAUGAUACGUAGCCGACCUGAGAGGGUAAUCGGCCACAUUGGGACUGAGACACGGCCCAAACUCCUACGGGAGGCAGCAGUAGGGAAUCUUCCACAAUGGACGAAAGUCUGAUGGAGCAACGCCGCGUGAGUGAAGAAGGGUUUCGGCUCGUAAAACUCUGUUGUUAAAGAAGAACAUAUCUGAGAGUAACUGUUCAGGUAUUGACGGUAUUUAACCAGAAAGCCACGGCUAACUACGUGCCAGCAGCCGCGGUAAUACGUAGGUGGCAAGCGUUGUCCGGAUUUAUUGGGCGUAAAGCGAGCGCAGGCGGUUUUUUAAGUCUGAUGUGAAAGCCUUCGGCUCAACCGAAGAAGUGCAUCGGAAACUGGGAAACUUGAGUGCAGAAGAGGACAGUGGAACUCCAUGUGUAGCGGUGAAAUGCGUAGAUAUAUGGGAAGAACACCAGUGGCGAACGCGGCUGUCUGGUCUGUAACUGACGCUGAGGCUCGAAAGUAUGGGUAGCAAACAGGGAUUAGAUACCCUGGUAGUCCAUACCGUAAACGAUGAAUGCUAAGUGUUGGAGGGUUUCCGCCCUUCAGUGCUGCAGCUAACGCAUUAAGCAUUCCGCCUGGGGAGUACGGCCGCAAGGCUGAAACUCAAAGGAAUUGACGGGGGCCCGCACAAGCGGUGGAGCAUGUGGUUUAAUUCGAAGCUACGCGAAGAACCUUACCAGGUCUUGACAUACUAUGCAAAUCUAAGAGAUUAGACGUUCCCUUCGGGGACAUGGAUACAGGUGGUGCAUGGUUGUCGUCAGCUCGUGUCGUGAGAUGUUGGGUUAAGUCCCGCAACGAGCGCAACCCUUAUUAUCAGUUGCCAGCAUUAAGUUGGGCACUCUGGUGAGACUGCCGGUGACAAACCGGAGGAAGGUGGGGAUGACGUCAAAUCAUCAUGCCCCUUAUGACCUGGGCUACACACGUGCUACAAUGGAUGGUACAACGAGUUGCGAACUCGCGAGAGUAAGCUAAUCUCUUAAAGCCAUUCUCAGUUCGGAUUGUAGGCUGCAACUCGCCUACAUGAAGUCGGAAUCGCUAGUAAUCGCGGAUCAGCAUGCCGCGGUGA